rnacentral:rRNA from 1 species
GACGAACGCUGGCGGCGUGCUUAACACAUGCAAGUCGAACGGAAAGGCCCUGCUUGCAGGGUACUCGAGUGGCGAACGGGUGAGUAACACGUGGGUGAUCUGCCCUUCACUUCGGGAUAAGCCUGGGAAAGUGGGUCUAAUACCCGAUAGGAGCCAGUGUUAGAGUGAGGGUUGGACAGUUUUUUCGGUGUAGGAUGAGCUCGCGGCCUAUCAGCUUGUUGGUGGGGUAAUGGCCUACCAAGGCGGCGACGGGUAGCCGGCCUGAGAGGGUGGACGGCCACAUUGGGACUGAGAUAAGGCCCAGACUCCUACGGGAGGCAGCAGUGGGGAAGAUUGCACAAUGGGCGCAAGCCUGAUGCAGCGACGCCGCGUGGGGGAUGACGGCCUUCGGGUUGUAAAAUCCUUUCGCUAGGGACGAAGCUUUUUGUGACGGUACCUAGAUAAGAAGCACCGGCUAACUACGUG